GGGCCCCGCCGGAAGCCCGUCCAGCGCCCAACAAAAGCGGCGCGACAAGUCUACGACUGAGCCGAACGCUUCUGGGCGCCGCGCGCCAGGGGGAAACGUUCGCGGCGGAACGUUCAGGAGAAAACGCUCCAGCAACUCCCAGCCGACCCCGCCCCUCCCCGACCUACCAUAGACGCCGUCCUCCAUGGCGGCUAGGAAGGCCCGCGGGGAAUCCGGGGCGGUCCCGCCAGUCGGGCCUGGAUCCGCGUUGGCCCGCGGGCUCGGAUGGGGAAACUGACAUGAAGAGGAGUCCAAAGUGACACAGUCAGGCCAGAAAUGUUGCUUCUGAAGUCCUGAGUCCACCUCCUAGCACUGCCAAGCAGUCCACCUGGAGGUGAUGAGAACUUCCAGGCUUUGGUAAUGGACAACUCUGUAUCCCUGGAGCCUUCAUUCCUUUUGGCAUUACAGAACCACAAGAAGUCAUCUAGAAUCAUUGAGAUUCUCAACUCCAUUGGGCAAACUGGAACCAGCAAAAUCUCAGAUAUCUAGAAUUGCCACUGCUUCCUUGACUCUGUGAUCAGUCUACAGCCACAGAAUCCUGAUUCCCUUUGGACAUUCUAGAAUGGCACUUUAAAAAAAAACAACCCACCCA
rnacentral:lncRNA from 1 species